CAUGCCCCUUAUACGCUGGGCUACACACGUGCUACAAUGGGUAGAACAGAGAGUCGCAAAGCUGUGAAGUGGAGCUAAUCUCAGAAAACUAUUCUUAGUUCGGAUUGUACUCUGCAACUCGAGUACAUGAAGUUGGAAUCGCUAGUAAUCGCGAAUCAGCAAUGUCGCGGUGAAUACGUUCUCGGGUCUUGUACACACCGCCCGUCACACCACGAGAGUUGGUUGCACCUGAAGUAGCAGGCCUAACCGUAAGGAGGGAUGCUCCGAGGGUGUGAUUAGCGAUUGGGGUGAAGUCGUAACAAGGUAUCCGUACGGGAACGUGCGGAUGGAUCACCUCCUUUCUAAGGAGAAAAAGUCUUUCUCUAUUCUAUUGGUAAUGUUCUUUACAUUACUUCUGAACAUUGGAAACUAUAUAGUAGAACAAAAAUAACUCUAACAAUUUCUUAGAGUUAGCUGUCAAAAAAUAGGUUAAAAUAAUUAAGGGCACACAAAGGAUGCCUAGGUAGUAAGAGCCGAUGAAGGACGUGAUAAGCUGCGAUAAGCCUAG
rnacentral:sRNA from 1 species